AGGUCAUGAUGUGGACACUUUCGUAGCAAAUCAUUCAAUCUUUCCCAAGCUUCAUGGAAUGGCUCUCCAUCACUUUGAGAAAAUCCUAGAAUAGUUGUCCUCAUUCU